rnacentral:rRNA from 1 species
UACGUAGGGUGCAAGCGUUGUCCGGAAUUAUUGGGCGUAAAGAGCUCGUAGGCGGUUUGUCGCGUCUGCUGUGAAAACCCGAGGCUCAACCUCGGGCCUGCAGUGGGUACGGGCAGACUAGAGUGCGGUAGGGGAGAUUGGAAUUCCUGGUGUAGCGGUGGAAUGCGCAGAUAUCAGGAGGAACACCGAUGGCGAAGGCAGAUCUCUGGGCAACUACUGACGCUGAGGAGCGAAAGCGUGGGGAGCGAACAGG